UGGCUAACUUACGAGUACAAGAAGUAAGAGGGGAAUGAACUACGCAUAACGGACGUGAACUACGGUUGAUCAAGAGAAUGAUCCUGAACACCUACCUACGUCAGACAUAACCCGACCGUGUCCUCGAUCAGAGAAAGAACUCACGAAAGAGACAGUCACGGUUACGCACACAGUGGGCAUGUUUUAAUUAAGUUAACUUCAAGUUAUCUAGAACCAGUGUUAAACAAAGUAUAGACGUUGCCACAUAACCGCGGGCACGGCUUUCCGAAAGAUUUAACCCUGCAGGGGUGCUCCAACUAGUCCAUCACAAAUUACCACAAGCCGCAUAGAAAUCCUCAAUCACGAAGCU
rnacentral:lncRNA from 1 species